rnacentral:misc_RNA from 1 species
AGCAUCUGUCCGAUAGGGGCACUCACGCGCACACAGGGAGGCACACGUGUGCGCCCCUGACCCCCUCUUCCUUGUUGAGGCCAUCCAUGCUGCGGUCUACCCACGUGUCGCGGCUCGUCACGAGCGGCAGCGUCGCCCUUACACCGUCGUGCUGGACGACAAAACCCGCUGGCUGGUAUCUUGUUCCGAGCAGCACCUUGCCAGAGACAGAGGAGCUGCGCGUAAGCAAGCGUUUUGACUUUCUCAAUCACAGCGCGCAGUACCUGUUUCUCGGGCAGGUGAUGGCCCUCGCCGAGGAGGUCAAGUGCAUCCCAUCGCUGGAGUGGUUCUACACGGAGCUCAGCUUUUCACUGCCACCGACGAAAGAGGCGGAGGUGCUGGCGAACUACAUGAAUGAUCAGGAGCGCCUGCGGUGCGGACUGCGCAACCACUCCGAGGGUGGCACCAGCUCGUCCGAUAUUGCGUGGAGCAGGGAGCUGAAGGAGCGCGUGCAGCGCCGCGCUGAGGAAGACUUCUGCUGGCUCCUCACGCAUGAUCAGCGCAAAACGGAGAAGUUCUUGCAGGAGACGUUCAUCCAGUGGCACCACCGUGCUGACUACCUCGUGACGCGCAAGAGCCGCGAGAAGCGCGAGUUCCGCGAGGACCUGACGUUGCAGAAGGUGAUUCAACAAGGACAGGAGCGCAAGCGGCGCAUGCAGCGGCGCCGAAACCGCGACGAGGCGCGGCAGGAAGCCAUCAAGUCCGGAAAGGAGUCCGAGUGGGACAACUUCACGCAUGACGUGCUGCCGCGUGAGCUGCGCGAGGCGCUCGACCGCGAGAGCGACGGCAUGGAGGAUGUGCGACUCUCUCGCGCCGGCACGGCGACCGGUGGAUGGAGUCGCAGCAUGCGCUCUCACCCGAACUUUCGCUAAAGCCCCAUCGCGUGCGCGUGCACUCGUUUCGUUGCCCUUUCGACUGCUGAUAGAUAAGGGCCCCGCCCUCAUUUGGUCUCGACAGAGGCACCGGCUGGGCCAUACACAACUGCGGCGCACCAAAGCAGCGGCUCCUUCAGGUGGGCCCGGGAGGCUUUCUGUGGGUGCGGCACGCAGGCGCGGUAGCGCCGUUUGCAUGUUGCUUCUCUUCACGCCCUCCCCAUCACUUCAUCACACUACGACUGUCGAUGUUCGUCACUCCCCCUCUUCCUCUCUUGUGUCCACGGUGCACCCGCGUUUGUUCUUUGGCAGGCGAUGCG